UACGUAGGGUGCAAGCGUUGUCCGGAAUUAUUGGGCGUAAAGAGCUCGUAGGCGGUUUGUCGCGUCUGCUGUGAAAACUCGGGGCUUAACCCCGGGCUCGCAGUGGGUACGGGCAGACUAGAGUGCGGUAGGGGAGACUGGAAUUCCUGGUGUAGCGGUGAAAUGCGCAGAUAUCAGGAGGAACACCGGUGGCGAAGGCGGGUCUCUGGGCCGUAACUGACGCUGAGGAGCGAAAGCGUGGGGAGCGAACAGG
rnacentral:rRNA from 1 species